rnacentral:misc_RNA from 1 species
UCCUCGUUUAAGCGAGGCAGUCUGUCCCGAGUGCUUCCGGAUUACUCCGGAGUGGCAACAGGACACAAGGGUUGCGCUCGUUGCGGGACUUAACCCAACAUCUCACGACACGAGCUGACGACAGCCAUGCAGCACCUGUGUACGCUGGUAUUGCUACCUCGUCAGGCUUUCACCCUUCUACUACGUACAUGUCAAGGCCAGGUAAGGUUCUUCGCGUUGCAUCGAAUUGAGCCACAUACUCCACCGCUUGUGCAGGCCCCCGUCAAUUUCUUUGAGUUUUAAUCUUGCGACCGUACUUCCCAGGCGGCACGUUUAUCGCGUUAGCUACGCCACAAGAGGGGUCGAUUCCUCUUACAGCAAACGUGCACCGUUUACGGCUAGGACUAC